UAGCAUAUCAAUAAGCGGAGGAAAAGAAACCAACAGGGAUUGCCCCAGUAGCGGCGAGUGAAGCGGCAAGAGCUCAGAUUUGAAAUCGUGCUAAUUUUUUUGGCACGAGUUGUAGAGUGUAGGCGGGAGUCUUUGUGGAGCACGGUGUCCAAGUCCCUUGGAACAGGGCGCCUGAGAGGGUGAGAGCCCCGUGGGGUGCCGUGCGAAGCUCUGAGGGCCCCUGCUGACGAGUCGAGUUGUUUGGGAAUGCAGCUCCAAGUGGGUGGUAAAUUCCAUCUAAGGCUAAAUACUGGCGAGAGACCGAUAGCGAACAAGUACUGUGAAGGAAAGAUGAAAAGCACUUUGAAAAGAGAGUGAAACAGCACGUGAAAUUGUUGAAAGGGAAGGGUAUUGGGCCCGACAUGGGGAGUGCGCACCGCUGUCUCUUGUAGGCGGCGCUCUGGGCGCUCUCUGGGCCAGCAUCGGUUCUUGCUGCGGGAGAAUGGGUGCCGGAAAGUGGCUCUUCGGAGUGUUAUAGCCGGCGCCAGAUACCGCGUGCGGGGACCGAGGACUGCGGCUUCUGUCUCGGAUGCUGGCACAACGGCGCAAUACCGCCCGUCUUGAAACAUGGACCAAGGAGUCUAACGUCUAUGCGAGUGUUUGGGUGUAAAACCCGUACGCGUAAUGAAAGUGAACGUAGGUCGGACCCCUUCGGGGGGCACGAUCGACCGAUCCUGAUGUUUAUCGGAUGGAUUUGAGUAAGAGCAUAGCUGUUGGGACCCGAAAGAUGGUGAACUAUGCCUGAAUAGGGUGAAGCCAGAGGAAACUCUGGUGGAGGCUCGUAGCGGUUCUGACGUGCAAAUCGAUCGUCGAAUUUGGGUAUAGGGGGCGAAAGACUAAUCGAACCAUCUAGUAGCUGGUUCCUGCCGA
rnacentral:rRNA from 1 species